rnacentral:rRNA from 1 species
UACGUAGGGUGCAAGCGUUAAUCGGAAUUACUGGGCGUAAAGCGUGCGCAGGCGGUUUUUUAAGUCAGAGGUGAAAGCCCAGUGCUCAACACUGGAACUGCCUUUGAAACUGGAAAACUUGAAUCUUGGAGAGGUCAGUGGAAUUCCGAGUGUAGAGGUGAAAUUCGUAGAUAUUCGGAAGAACACCAGUGGCGAAGGCGACUGACUGGACAAGUAUUGACGCUGAGGUGCGAAAGCGUGGGGAGCAAACAGG